GGCGGGGUAGCUUAGUUGGUUAAAGCGCUGGCUUCAUAAACCAGAGAUUCGUGGGUUCGAUCCCCACCCCCCCUA
rnacentral:tRNA from 1 species